rnacentral:rRNA from 1 species
AAAAGGGGGGCAACUCCCUGAGUACAGCGGCGCACGGGUGAGUAACACGUGGGUAAUCUGCCCUGGAGUGGGGAAUAACACCGGGAAACCGGUGCUAAUACCGCAUACGAUCAUGAGGUCUGCGGACUUUGUGAUGAAAGGAGCAAUUCGCUCUAGGAGGAGCCCGCGGCUGAUUAGCUAGUUGGUGAGGUAAUGGCUCACCAAGGCUACGAUCAGUAUCCGGUCUGAGAGGACGGUCGGACACACUGGAACUGAGACACGGUCCAGACUCCUACGGGAGGCAGCAGUGGGGAAUUUUUGGCAAUGGGGGCAACCCUGACCAAGCAACGCCGCGUGGGUGAUGAAGUCUCUUGGGACGUAAAACCCUUUCGACGGGGAAGAAAACCGCAAGGUUUGACGGUACCCGUAGAAGAAGCCCCGGCUAACUCCGUGCCAGCAGCCGCGGUAAUACGGGGGGGGCAAGCGUUGUUCGGAAUUACUGGGCGUAAAGGGCGCGUAGGCGGUUCGCUAAGUUGGAUGUGAAAACUCUGGGCUCAACCCAGAGCCUGCAUCCAAAACUGGCGGGCUAGAGUUCUGGAGGGGGUAGCGGAAUUCCUGGUGUAGCGGUGAAAUGCGUAGAUAUCAGGAGGAACACCGGUGGCGAAGGCGGCUACCUGGACAGAAACUGACGCUGAGGCGCGAAAGCUAGGGGAGCAGACAGGAUUAGAUACCCUGGUAGUCCUAGCCCUAAACGAUGGAUACUUGGUGUGACUGGGAUUGAAUCCAGUCGUGCCGAAGCUAACGCAUUAAGUAUCCCGCCU